UACGUAGGGGGCAAGCGUUGUCCGGAAUCAUUGGGCGUAAAGGGCUCGUAGGCGGCCAACUAAGUCCGACGUGAAAUCCCCAGGCUUAACCUAGGAACUGCGUCGGAUACUGGUUGGCUUGAAUCCGGGAGAGGGAUGCGGAAUUCCAGGUGUAGCGGUGAAAUGCGUAGAUAUCUGGAGGAACAUCGGUGGCGAAGGCGGCACCCUGGACCGGUAUUGACGCUGAGGCGCGAAAGCCAGGGGAGCGAAAGGG
rnacentral:rRNA from 1 species